rnacentral:rRNA from 1 species
CUACGGGUCGCACCAGUGGGGAAUAUUGGACAAUGGGGGCAACCCUGAUCCAGCCAUGCCGCGUGUGUGAAGAAGGCCUUUUGGUUGUAAAGCACUUUAAGCAGUGAAGAAGACCUAACGGUUAAUACCCGUUAGCGAUGACAUUAGCUGCAGAAUAAGCACCGGCUAACUCUGUGCCAGCAGCCGCGGUAAUACAGAGGGUGCAAGCGUUAAUCGGAAUUACUGGGCGUAAAGCGAGCGUAGGUGGCUUGAUAAGUCAGAUGUGAAAUCCCCGGGCUUAACCUGGGAACUGCAUCUGAUACUGUUAAGAUAGAGUAGGUGAGAGGGAAGUAGAAUUCCAGGUGUAGCGGUGAAAUGCGUAGAGAUCUGGAGGAAUACCGAUGGCGAAGGCAGCUUCCUGGCAUCAUACUGACACUGAGGCUCGAAAGUGUGGGUAGCAAACAGGAUUAGAUACCCGUGUAGUC